rnacentral:tRNA from 1 species
GAGGCAUUAGCUCAGUUGGUUUAGAGCACUACCUUGACAGGGUAGGGGUCACUGGUUCGAAUCCAGUAUGCCUCA